AGGAGACGCUAGGCGGCGUGACCUAACACAUGCAAGUCGAGCGGGAGUGCCUUCGGGCAGUUUCCAGCGGCGGACGGUGAGUAACGCGUGAGCAACCUUUCUACGACAGGGGGAUAACGCAGCGAAAGCUGUGCUAAUACCGCAUAAGACCACAAUGUCACAUGGCAAAGGGGUCAAAGGAGGAAUCCGGUGAAGGGUGGGCUCGCGUCUGAUUAGCUAGUUGCGGGGUAAGGCCCACCAAGGUGACGAUCAGUAGCCGACCUGAGAGGGUGAUCGGCCACACUGGGACUGAGACACGGCCCAGACUCCUACGGGAGGCAGCAGUGGGGAAUAUUGGGCAAUGGGCGAAAGCCUGACCCAGCAACGCCGCGUGAGGGAAGAAGGUUUUCGGAUCGUAAACCUCUGUCCUUGGGGACGAAUAAAUGACGGUACCCAAGGAGGAAGCCCCGGCUAACUACGUG
rnacentral:rRNA from 1 species